rnacentral:rRNA from 1 species
UACGGAGGGUGCAAACGUUGCUCGGAAUCAUUGGGCGUAAAGCGCACGUAGGUGGCCUGUUAAGUCGGGUGUGAAAUCCCUGGGCUCAACCCAGGAAGUGCACUCGAAACUGGCAGGCUUGAGUACUGAAGAGGGUCGCGGAAUUCCCGGUGUAGAGGUGAAAUUCGUAGAUAUCGGGAGGAACACCAGUGGCGAAGGCGGCGACCUGGGCAGAUACUGACACUGAGGUGCGAAAGCGUGGAGAGCAAACAGG